ensembl:lncRNA
GGAGGAAAGCGAAGGGCCUCGCUACAGCUCUCCCCAUGGCAAAGUCCCCCAGUGAGGGUCUCCAGGAAAUCAGAGGGGGCAAAGCCAAAGCAAAGCUUGGCGCAUCUCUCUUCUGUGUUCCACAUAGGCAACACGAAGCAUCUACACAUGCAGCCUGGGGAGCAUGGGAUGCAUGACCAGGGCUGUGCUUUGUUAAUGUUAAAGGUUUGAUGGCAGUGACAAUUUUAACAAAAUUCAUUAACACAUUAACAGAAAUGAAACCCACUCUGUGCUCAUGAUUAGCCACAUGUUUCCCUCUCCAUCAUGGAAAGCAGGGCUCCAGAGGGUCUGAAGUGUACUGUGCUGAGCAGGUACAAAAACAGCCAUUACAUGACUUAGAUUUCCCUUAAUUAACAUUAUAUGUCACCCCACACGUCUCCGGCAAUGACUAAAGUCUGACUUGACAGCAGUGGCUUCCCAUAAGCGCAGGCAAGCGGUCUCUGUUGCAAGAAAGUGUUUGGCACUUCUGUGAAACAUGAACAACCUCAUGGCAUGGCAAAGCUUCCUGCAGAGUCUGGUGUACAUGAAGUAAGGGAAAAAGCUGAUAACUGGAGGAAAUUACUAGAAGUUCUGCCUGGGAUCAGUUGGUCGCUAUCCUUGAGUUUCUGGAAAAUAACACAUCCACAGGCUGAGGGGGUUAUUAUACUAUGUAUAUAUAUACAGAUAUGGUUAUAUUGUUUAUUAUAUAGAGAGUUUAACAUACAUUAUAUAUCCAGCAGCUGGGAUGCAGCAAGCGCACGAUGAGGAACAGCAGAAAGAAGAAUGACCCCACGCUGCUGUUACAAGCAGCUUCCUGAAAGCAGCUUGCGGCCAGGAAAAUCGCUGGAUGAAAUCCCUCAGAGGAGAAAGUCCAGGGAUUGGAGUCACGCUGCAGCACUCCAGCCUGCGACAGAGGGACAAAAGGGGAAGGACAGACAAACACCUAUCCAACACCUACUCCAGAAGGCAGCACAAAGAAGAGGAUGUAAAGCAGGACAAACAAGAGUGGCUUGUGCAAGAACUCCUGUAUUAGAAUUGAGUUUGUAAGUAAAGUAAAAUAGCAAACAGAGUUUAGAGGAGCGUUUUGUUUCUUCCUGGAAGCACAAGCAGAGGAGGGGAAGGCCAGCGACGUUCCAGGAGGGCAGCAUCUAGCAGCACGCCUGCGCUGAGCAAGCUGGGACGCGGAGCUGUGCCAAGCUAUUUUUACUUCUGCUCCAGUCCCGCAGCCACGCUGGCAGAUGUGCUCCCAGCUGCAGAUGACUUCCAUGUGUAACCCUGCACUGGCUAGGGGCCCAGGGCGUAGUGUGCUUCCUUAAAAGGCCCGGGAGAGCAAGGCGAUGCCCAAUCCCAGGGGCGGCUGGCCACAGGGGCCCCAAGCCGCCCUCUGCCCUCGGGAAAGCCCAGAGUGGGCCUUCACAGCAUGACAUGGGGUCGUUGGGAGCAGUGAGGGGGAAAGGGUGCUGCAGCAGGUGGGAAGGAUGAUUCACAGGUCGCUGUAACCUCCUGCUCCCACCUAAAAGGAGAGGCUGCAGAGGAAGCAGUGUGUUGGAGCAUGGGAUGGGUCCAGUUUGCAUGCAGGCAACGUUUGUAACCCCUGAAAGCGAAAAAGGGGGCUUUCAGCAUGCCCCGUGCACGCUGGAAUGCAGGGCAGGCUGCUCUGUCCUCCAGGCAGCUACAGUUCAGUGCAGACAAUAUGAGAAACAACGAUAAUAAUAAGUGCAAUAAAAAGUCAAUUCCCUGUUCCCUCCUUCUCUAA